rnacentral:tRNA from 1 species
GGUAACAACAGCUCAGUGGUAGAGCACAUGCUUAGCAUGCACGAGGUCCUGGGUUCAAUCCCUAGUACUUCUA